GAUUCACAUAAUCUCAGAGUCCCAAUCAAGCAAGAGCUGCUAGAUCCCACAACCAAGCAGAGGCGUUUCAAUUAAUCACCUCAACAAAUCCAGGCAAAUCUGAACCUGGUAUGUUCAAUCUUUUCAGCGAAUUGGGUGAUAUUGUGUGAUACCACGCUUGGGUGGCAGCUUCCUCAAAAUGAAAAGGACCAAAGAAGAAGGCAAUAUUUCCACCAACUGCAACAAAAAUGUGAAAAGGGAAAACCGCUGCCAAGCAGUGGGGUUUUACAACGGGAGAGAGAGAGAGAGAGUGUGUUACGAGACGAGAGAUCUCGAUAGGAUUUUGCAAGAUGGUCAUAAUGGUAAUAUACAUCAGAAAAAUGGGAGAAAAGUUCGAUUUUACCCCUUAAAUGUUGUCGGUACACUACACACAGGAGCAAAGAGAGAAUUUACCCUGCCUUCAAUGAGCGGCAGUUUGCCACAAUUUUGGCUGCAGUACCUGCCACUACAGAAAACCAUUGCAUGGCAUUUUGGAAUUAGCGGAAGGGGGCAGCUACUUGAUGCAACGCAGCAAUAGUGGCGCUAUUGCACACGAUUCAUAACUAAUAGCGUAUUAUGUAUUUUGCCUUUACAUUCACAUGCACUUCUGUAUUUGGAUUGGAAGGAUACUAGU